ACAUAGCCAUAUGAAGAUAUUUAUGGUUUAACCUGCCCAAUGUAUAAUUUUAUUAAUGGCCGCGGUACCCUGACCGUGCUAAGGUAGCGUAAUCAGUUGGCUUUUAAAUGGAGUCAGGAAUGAAUGGAAUAACCGGGUUUAGCUGUCUCAUAGGUAUUAUAUUGAAUUUACUGUUCAAGUGAAAAAGCUUGAAUUUAAUAAAAAGACGAGAAGACCCUUAGAAUUUUUUUUAAAGCGAUUUUCUUCGUUAUGAUUUUGUUGGGGCGACAGAGAAAUAAUUAAAACUUUCUUUAAAAUUAUAAGCCGGAAUUUUCAAGCUAGAAUAAAUUACCUGAGGGAUAACAGCAUAAUUCUACAAAUGAGUUUAUGACCUCGAUGUUGGACUAGGAAGCUGGCAGGUUAGCUGCUUGUCGUGGAGAUUCUGUUCGAAUUUUAAAUCCUACGUGA
rnacentral:rRNA from 1 species